rnacentral:rRNA from 1 species
AGCGGCGAACGGGUGAGUAACACGUGAGCAACCUACCCUCAACUUCGGGAUAAGCCUCGGAAACGGGGUCUAAUACCGGAUAUCAUCUCGCGCUUCAUGGUGUGGGGUUGAAAGUUCUGGCGGUUGGGGAUGGGCUCGCGGCCUAUCAGCUUGUUGGUGGGGUAAUGGCCUACCAAGGCGUCGACGGGUAGCCGGCCUGAGAGGGCGACCGGCCACACUGGGACUGAGACACGGCCCAGACUCCUACGGGAGGCAGCAGUGGGGAAUAUUGCGCAAUGGACGAAAGUCUGACGCAGCAACGCCGCGUGAGGGAUGACGGCCUUCGGGUUGUAAACCUCUUUCAGCAGGGACGAAGCGAGAGUGACGGUACCUGCAGAAGAAGGACCGGCCAACUACGUGCCAGCAGCCGCGGUAAUACGUAGGGUCCGAGCGUUGUCCGGAAUUAUUGGGCGUAAAGGGCUCGUAGGCGGUUCGUCGCGUCGGGAGUGAAAACUCGGAGCUUAACUCCGAGCCUGCUUCCGAUACGGGCAGACUAGAGGUAGGCAGGGGAGAGCGGAACUCCUGGUGUAGCGGUGGAAUGCGCAGAUAUCAGGAAGAACACCGGUGGCGAAGGCGGCUCUCUGGGCCUUACCUGACGCUGAGGAGCGAAAGCGUGGGUAGCGAACAGGAUUAGAUACCCUGGUAGUCCACGCCGUAAACGUUGGGCGCUAGGUGUGGGGGACAUUCCACGUCCUCCGUGCCGCAGCUAACGCAUUAAGCGCCCCGCCUGGGGAGUACGGCCGCAAGGCUAAAACUCAAAGGAAUUGACGGGGGCCCGCACAAGCGGCGGAGCAUGCGGAUUAAUUCGAUGCAACGCGAAGAACCUUACCUGGGUUUGACAUAUAGGGAAAUCCUCCAGAAGAUGGGGGGGCCGUAAGGGUCCUAUACGGUGGUGCCAUGGCUGUAUCACUCGUGUCGU